UACGAAGGGGGCAAGCGUUGUCCGGAUUUAUUGGGCGUAAAGAGCGUGUAGGCGGCCUUACAGGUCAGCUGUGAAAACUCGAGGCUCAACCUCGAGACGUCGGUUGAAACCGUAUGGCUAGAGUCCGGAAGAGGAGAGUGGAAUUCCCGGUGUAGCGGUGAAAUGCGCAGAUAUCUGGAGGAACACCGGUGGCGAAGGCGGCACUCUGGGCCGGUACUGACGCUGAGGAGCGAAAGCGUGGGGAGCAAGCAGG
rnacentral:rRNA from 1 species